UACGGAGGGGGCGAGCGUUCUUCGGAAUUAUUGGGCGUAAAGGGCGCGUAGGCGGCCUUGCAAGUCAAAGGUGAAAUCCCUCGGCUCAACUGAGGAACUGCCUUUGAAACUGCACGGCUUGAGGCCGGGAGGGGGUAGCGGAAUUCCCAGUGUAGCGGUGAAAUGCGUAGAUAUUGGGAGGAACACCAGUGGCGAAGGCGGCUACCUGGACCGGUUCUGACGCUGAUGCGCGAAAGCGUGGGUAGCAAACAGG
rnacentral:rRNA from 1 species